rnacentral:rRNA from 1 species
GAGUUUGAUCAUGGCUCAGAACGAACGCUGGCGGCAGGCUUAACACAUGCAAGUCGAACGAUAAACUAUCUUCGGAUAGUGGACAGUGGCAGACGGGUGAGUAACGCGUAGCAACCUACCUAGUAGUACGGAAUAGCCCUUGGAAACGAGGAGUAAUACCGUAUACGCCCUUCGGGGGAAAGAUUUAUCGCUAUUAGAUGGGGCUGCGUUGGAUUAGCUAGUUGGUGAGGUAAGAGCUCACCAAGGCAACGAUCUAUAGCGGGUCUGAGAGGAUGAUCCGCCACACUGGGACUGAGACACGGCCCAGACUCCUACGGGAGGCAGCAGUGGGGAAUCUUGGACAAUGGGGGAAACCCUGAUCCAGCCAUGCCGCGUGAAUGAUGAAGGCCUUAGGGUUGUAAAAUUCUUUCGAUAGGGAAGAUAAUGACGGUACCUAUUAAAGAAGCCCCGGCUAACUCCGUGCCAGCAGCCGCGGUAAUACGGAGGGGGCUAGCGUUGUUCGGAAUUACUGGGCGUAAAGCGUACGCAGGCUGACCAUUAAGUUAGAGGUGAAAUCCCAGGGCUCAACCCUGGAACUGCCUUUAAAACUGCUGGUCUGGAGUUAUGGAGAGGUAAGUGGAAUUCCUAGUGUAGAGGUGAAAUUCGUAGAUAUUAGGAGGAACACCAGAGGCGAAGGCGGCUUACUGGACAUAUACUGACGCUGAGGUACGAAAGUGUGGGGAGCGAACGGGAUUAGAUACCCCGGUAGUCCACACCGUAAACGAUGAGAGCUAGUUGUCCGCAGACAUGUCUGUGGGUGACGCAGUUAACGCAUUAAGCUCUCCGCCUGGAGAG